GGUAAGGCCGAACCUUCCUCUCGAUUCCCUCUCUCAUUGUUCUAUGUUUCUCUCGCCACCCCGCACCGAUCUCCUCUCUUUUUCAUUCAUUUUCGCAUCCAAACCGUAGAAAGAGUAGAUCGUAGUCAACCCGGCGGCCUACGGUCAUUUUUUUCCUAUGGGAUAGUUUGUUUGCCUACAAAUGAGGAGGAGCCAUGGUGGGGUGGUGGCCGUUCGGCUCGGGAGGAGGUGGUGGUGAGAAGGAGGUGAGGCUUGGGGUGGUGUUGUCCGGUGGUGCAAGUACUCUACGAGGUGGCCGGUACCGCUGAGUUGAAGAGAGGAGCAAGAAGCAGGGGACACACACGUUGAAGGUGAAAAUGGCUGAAUCAGUAAAUUUGACUGUUUACUAUGGCCCUGGUAAUGUCCGAUAUAAUAAGUUGGGGGUUGAUCUUAGCGAGUAUAAAAAUGGCGUCGUGACACUUUCAAAUCCGGACAGACUGGACAUUAGACAGUUGAAGUACUGGUUGACUACUAGUUUUCGGCUGGAUCCUGAAGUAUGUUCGGUCAGUAUUCAUGCAUUGUGGACCAAAUCAUGUAAAAAUGUCAAGUGGGAGUUGAUGCUGAUAGAUAGGAGUCAGCAAUGGUUGACCCUGUUAAAGCGUUGCAGAGAUCGAAGAAUCCACCCAUGUGCCCUAGUGCAAAGGAGGAGAAUACCGUACAACUCCAUACUCCACGGGGGGCAUGAACCCGGCCAGGGCAGUCAAGUGGCUAACGAGAUUUAUUUAUCCGGGUCACAACCACUAGAUGUGGAUGCUAGCCAACCCGAGAAAGAGUCAGUUUACGUGCCACACAAUGUGUGUGGUCAUUAUACCGGGCAGAGUAGUCGGUCGAUAAUAUUAGCUGGUUCUGAUUUUGCUGACGGGGCCUGUAAAGGAGAGGAAAUGCAGAGGACGAUGAUGGAUUGGCGGAGGAUCUGGAUUCUGAAUAUUCCGAGGAUGAAGUGAAGGUACCGAUUCCUUCUGCAUGGGAUCAGGACAUAUCGACCGGCUUUAGGGUCAACGAUGGCCAUGAGACUCCGUGUCAGUAUAAUCUGAACCAAGUCCGGGUAGGGGCUAUGUAUGAUACAAAGAAAAAAUUGAAGUAUGCGGUGAUAAAGUGGGCUAUGUCUACGCAGAGUGUUUUCCGGACACACGUAUCAAGUCCAACAAACUAUACUGUGAAAUGUGUUGAAACAGGUUGUCCUGGGAAGGUGCACGGGCACGUGCUGAAGUAUAACAUCCACUGGGUUGUCACCAAUGUCGUCCCAUAUAAUUGUGUGAGGAAAAACCUUCAGGUGAAUCAUCCAAACCUGACUUCACCAACACCACCGACACAGACCGUGACAGACGAGGUUAUCUAUGGUCAUGGUUAUCGUGAGCCUCGCCCACCGCCUCAGCGUUUAUCACCUUUCGGUCCUCGUCCGAGGAAGACCCAGAUGCGUCGUCGUCCCAGCAGUGAUAUGAUUAUCUAUGUAUGACACAUAUGUCCAUCAAUGUUAGUUUCAGACUUUUCUCAUGUGUGAGUCAUUAUCUAUAUAUGUGACAUGAUUCA